GACAGCUCAGUUGGUUAGAGCGUGGUGCCGAUAACGCCAGGGUUGCAGGUUCGAUCCCCGUAAGGGACA